AUUCCAGCUCCAAUAGCGUAUAUUAAAGUUGUUGCGGUUAAAAAGCUCGUAGUUGGAUUUCUGCUGAGGACGACCGGUCCGCCCUCUGGGUGAGUAUCUGGCUUGGCCUUGGCAUCUUCUUGGAGAACGUAGCUGCACUUGACUGUGUGGUGCGGUAUCCAGGACUUUUACUUUGAGGAAAUUAGAGUGUUUCAAGCAGGCACACGCCUUGAAUACAUUAGCAUGGAAUAAUAAGAUAGGACCUCGGUUCUAUUUUGUUGGUUUCUAGAGCUGAGGUAAUGAUUAAUAGGGAUAGUUGGGGGCAUUCGUAUUUAACUGUCAGAGGUGAAAUUCUUGGAUUUUGGAAAGAUGAACUACUGCGAAGGCAUUUACCAAGGAUGUUUUCAUUA
rnacentral:rRNA from 1 species